AGAAUUUCGACUUAUUUAUUUACUUGUUUGUUUGUUAAUGCUUUGGUAGAGGUUGUGUUAGUGUUGCCACGGGUAGUGUUAUGGGCCUAGUGGUAGUGUGACAAGACUUUGGUAGAGGUUGUGUUAGUGUUGCCACGGGUAGUGUUAUGGGCCUAGUGGUAGUGUGACAAGACUUUGGUAGAGGUUGUGUUAGUGUUGCCACGGGUAGUGUUAUGGGCCUAGUGGUAGUAUGACAAGACUUUGGUAGAGGUUGUGUUAGUGUUGCCACGGGUAGUGUUAUGGGCCUAGUGGUAGUGUGACAAGACUUUGGUAGAGGUUGUGUUAGUGUUGCCACGGGUAGUGUUAUGGGCCUAGUGGUAGUGUGACAAGACUUUGGUAGAGGUUGUGUUAGUGUUGCCACGGGUAGUGUUAUGAGCCUAGUGGUAGUGUGACAAGACUUUGGUAGAGGUUGUGUUAGUGUUGCCACGGGUAGUGUUAUGGGCCUAGUGAUAGUAUGACAAGACUUUGGUAGAGGUUGUGUUAGUGUUUCCAUGGGUAGUGUUAUGGGCCUAGUGAUAGUGUGACAAGACUUCUGUAUCAUGAAUGUGAAAAACUACUCAUGAGAACUCGACUCAUCUCCUCUGUCGCCCUUGGAAAUACAUCUGUGAGAAUCUUAUUUGAGUCACUUUCCCUCCCCUUCCUUCCUUCCUUCCCCAUCCCUCAGGCCUCCCCUUCCUUCCCUCCCCCUCCCUCAGCCCUCCCCUUCCAUCCUUCCCCUUCCCUCAGCACUCCCUUUCCUUCCUUUCCCUUCCCUCAGCCCAAAGCGUCGAACCUAGGAUGUACUUGCUGGGUGGUUUGUUUGGGGUGACAUUAACUUCAAGCACUCUCUAUCUGUUUAUCUAUUUAUCUGUCUAUCUCCAUGUGUGUUGCGUGUCCCGUGAUCCGCGCCUUCCCAGGACGGAGCCUCACGGGGCUGGCUCACCUUCGUUAGUUGGUCCCCUCCCUCAGCCUCCCUCGUAGUACCGCCGCGGACUGAACACUCAAGAGGCAGCCUUGUGUCCCUGCCUCUUCAUUGUCGCCCCCUGGAGCAGGUUGGCCGUGGUAAGGUGAGGCAGCAGCUGUACAGCCAACCCUUCCCCCCUCCCCCCCAAGGCCCGUACCCACGCUGCCCCCCCCCUCCAUGCCCUCCCCCCGCCGCCAGCUGCCGCCGGCUGGGCCUUCGUCACUUAUGCUGCAUUAGGAAAUUGUGCAGCUUAAGGGUGAGCUGGAGCACGACACUCACGCCUCCACACACAGGCGUCGCCGCCGCCCCCGCCGCACCGCCACGCCGUCACCGUCACCGUCACACAACUCUGAUACGAGUCACUCCGCCUCGACCCGGCGAGUCGCGAAAUGUGUUUAUCAGCGGCACAGCGCGGCCACCGCGACGCAGCUCCCGCCGACUGGUUGUUUACGGCGCGGGUGUGGGCGAGGCUGAUUUACCUGCCAGGAGGGAGAGCGGCAGGCAGGCAGGCAGGCUGGAGGAGUCCUGUAUCUCCGUCCCGGUGUGGUGAGUGUACCGUCCCGCAGCAGCAGCAGCAGCUGUGUCCACACGGGCGGGCCGCGGCAGCCACAGGUGCCACGCCCCGCCGCACACACACACACACACACACGUGCCUCGCCGCCUGGUGCCGGGGUCAGUCUUCAUCAGCGCUGGUUCAUUUCAUUGUGUUGCAGCAACACUGUGGAGGCCUGUCGGUGUGUUCAGCGGGUGGCGGCGGGCGUGCAGGUGGUGACGGGUGCGUGGCCGUCACUCCGCCAGCCAACCGUCCACACAUGGCCAGGCCGGGAGGUCCCCGCCCUCGGCAGCGGCGGGGACGCACGGUGACGGGGCCCGGGGCUGCCGGCUAAAAAUAGCAAGGUGACGACGCCCCACCAUUGCCGCCACCACCACCACCACCACCACGGGAGGCCUGGCUCUCCCGGGGCGGGGCGGGGCGAACAGAGCUGUCAAGGAACGAUCAGUAUUAUCAGUCAAUGGUAAUACUGCACUGCAAAGGCCUUUCCCAACGUCCUCCACGUCAUGGCCGUGCCCGCCAUCCUGCCCCAGCCUGGGUUCCCUGGUCCUCGGUCUGGCGUGGCGGGCACGCUCCUGGGUUGCCACUCGGUUACUCGGUUACGCUGUCACCAGUCCAAGGCUUGGCCCAGCACACCUCUUGUUCUCGGGCCAGCCAUAAGGAUCAUGCAGGGACUGUCAAGGAAGGGCCGCCGCACCCACGCCUGCCGGGCUCCGCGGUGUCGUGGGAGGGUGACGCACGCAGCCUGUGCACGACUGUCCCGAGAGUCUUGACGCGGGUCAUGCAGUGACGACCCACUGCCUCGCCCCACGCCUCCCUGGGCCGCCGGAGGAAGGCAUCAACUCCCUGCUGCUACGGACUGACUGCAUCAGUCCGACGCGACGUUGCUUUCCUUACUCUCUCUGCUCGAUGUUUUCAUGGUGACUGCCCUCCUUGCCUCCCGCCGCACAGCCCUUUUCUUUGUCCAGACUUUUAAACGCAUCGGGGCUUCUUGCUACUUCCCAAGGCCACAGAGAAGAGCUGUGUGUGUGUGUGUGUGUGUAAUCCCUUCCCGGCCCAUUAUCACGUGACUUAACUUUCCCCUCGCUUUCCAUUAUACCUCCCUCCCAUCCCCUUCCUUCCCCUUCCUUCCCUCCCCUUCUCUCAGCCCUCCCCUUCCCUUUCCUUCCAUUUCCUUUCCUUCCCUUCCCCUUC